UGGCAUCUUCUGUAAUCCGGCUACUCGGAGGUUGGGUUGUAGACUGAUUUGAGGCUGGGGGUUCUGUACAUUGGCCAGGCCAUGUUGACGGGACGUCCGCACUAAGCUUAUCAUCAAUAUGGGUACAAUGGAGGAGUCCGAUGUAUUCAGGUUGACUAAGGAGGAAUGAACCGGGUGAGGGGUGAAAACCAGCAACCAAGAGUUCCCGUGGUAAGCAGUAGUGGGAUAGCGUCCCGGAGUGAACUACCAGUGUCAGCCUAGCUAAUAAGGUCACA
rnacentral:SRP_RNA from 1 species